rnacentral:rRNA from 2 species
UUAAGAGCAGAUGGCGGAUGCCUUGCCAAAGAGAGGCGAUGAAGGACGUACUAGACUGCGAUAAGCUAUGCGGAGCUGUCAAGGAGCUUUGAUGCGUAGAUGUCCGAAUGGGGCAACCCAACUAAUAGAGAUAUUAGUUACUCUAAUACAGAGAGCGAACCUAGUGAAGUGAAACAUCUCAGUAACUAGAGGAAAAGAAAUCAACGAGAUUCCCUAAGUAGUGGCGAGCGAACGGGGAAAAGGGCAAACCGAGUGCUUGCAUUCGGGGUUGAGGACUGCAACAUCCAAGAGAACGCUUUAGCAGAGUUACCUGGAAAGGUAAGCCAUAGAAAGUGAUAGCCUUGUAUGCGACAAGGCGUUCUCAGGUAGCAGUAUCCAGAGUAGGCCAGGACACGAGAAAUCCAGGUUGAAGCUGGGGAGACCACUCUCCAACCCUAAAUACUACUCUUUGAGCGAUAGCGAACAAGUACCGUGAGGGAAAGGUGAAAAGAACCGCAGUGAGCGGAGUGAAAUAGAACCUGAAACCAUCUGCUUACAAUCAUUCAGAGCCCUAUGAUUUAUCAGGGUGAUGGACUGCCUUUUGCAUAAUGAUCCUGCGAGUUGUGGUAUCUGGCAAGGUUAAGCGAAUGCGAAGCCGUAGCGAAAGCGAGUCUUAAUAGGGCGCUUGAGUCAGAUGCUGCAGACCCGAAGCUAAGUGAUCUAUCCAUGGCCAAGUUGAAACGCGUGUAAUAGCGCGUGGAGGACUGAACUCGUACCCAUUGAAACGGGUUGGGAUGAGCUGUGGAUAGGGGUGAAAGGCCAAACAAACUUAGUGAUAGCUGGUUCUCUUCGAAAUAUAUUUAGGUAUAGCCUCAAGUGAUAAUAAAAGGGGGUAGAGCACUGAUUGGGCUAGGGCUGCUCGCCGCGGUACCAAACCCUAUCAAACUUCGAAUACCUUUUAUCGUAUCUUGGGAGUCAGGCGGUGGGUGAUAAAAUCAAUCGUCAAAAGGGGAACAACCCAGACUACCAAAUAAGGUCCCUAAGUUCUAUUCUGAGUGGAAAAAGAUGUGUGGCUACUCAAACAACCAGGAGGUUGGCUUAGAAGCAGCCAUCCUUUAAAGAAAGCGUAACAGCUCACUGGUCUAGUGGUCAUGCGCUGAAAAUAUAACGGGGCUAAGAUAGACACCGAAUUUGUAGAUUGUGUUUGACACAGUGGUAGAAGAGCGUUCAUACCAGCGUUGAAGGUAUACCGGUAAGGAGUGCUGGAGCGGUAUGAAGUGAGCAUGCAGGAAUGAGUAACGAUAAGAUAUAUGAGAAUUGUAUCCGCCGUAAAUCUAAGGUUUCCUACGCGAUGGUCGUCAUCGUAGGGUUAGUCGGGUCCUAAGCCGAGUCCGAAAGGGGUAGGUGAUGGCAAAUUGGUUAAUAUUCCAAUACCGACUAUGGAGCGUGAUGGGGGGACGCAUAGGGUUAAGCGAGCUAGCUGAUGGAAGCGCUAGUCUAAGGGCGUAGAUUGGAGGGAAGGCAAAUCCACCUCUGUAUUUGAAACCCAAACAGGCUCUUUGAGUCCUUUUAGGACAAAGGGAGAAUCGCUGAUACCGUCGUGCCAAGAAAAGCCUCUAAGCAUAUCCAUAGUCGUCCGUACCGCAAACCGACACAGGUAGAUGAGAUGAGUAUUCUAAGGCGCGUGAAAGAACUCUGGUUAAGGAACUCUGCAAACUAGCACCGUAAGUUCGCGAUAAGGUGUGCCACAGCGAUGUGGUCUCAGCAAAGAGUCCCUCCCGACUGUUUACCAAAAACACAGCACUUUGCCAACUCGUAAGAGGAAGUAUAAGGUGUGACGCCUGCCCGGUGCUCGAAGGUUAAGAGGAUGCGUCAGUCGCAAGAUGAAGCGUUGAAUUGAAGCCCGAGUAAACGGCGGCCGUAACUAUAACGGUCCUAAGGUAGCGAAAUUCCUUGUCGGUUAAAUACCGACCUGCAUGAAUGGCGUAACGAGAUGGGAGCUGUCUCAACCAGAGAUUCAGUGAAAUUGUAGUGGAGGUGAAAAUUCCUCCUACCCGCGGCAAGACGGAAAGACCCCGUGGACCUUUACUACAACUUAGCACUGCUAAUGGGAAUAUCAUGCGCAGGAUAGGUGGGAGGCUUUGAAGUAAGGGCUUUGGCUCUUAUGGAGUCAUCCUUGAGAUACCACCCUUGAUGUUUCUGUUAGCUAACUGGCCUGUGUUAUCCACAGGCAGGACAAUGCUUGGUGGGUAGUUUGACUGGGGCGGUCGCCUCCUAAAAAGUAACGGAGGCUUGCAAAGGUUGGCUCAUUGCGGUUGGAAAUCGCAAGUUGAGUGUAAUGGCACAAGCCAGCCUGACUGUAAGACAUACAAGUCAAGCAGAGACGAAAGUCGGUCAUAGUGAUCCGGUGGUUCUGUGUGGAAGGGCCAUCGCUCAAAGGAUAAAAGGUACCCCGGGGAUAACAGGCUGAUCUCCCCCAAGAGCUCACAUCGACGGGGAGGUUUGGCACCUCGAUGUCGGCUCAUCGCAUCCUGGGGCUGGAGCAGGUCCCAAGGGUAUGGCUGUUCGCCAUUUAAAGCGGUACGCGAGCUGGGUUCAGAACGUCGUGAGACAGUUCGGUCCCUAUCUGCCGUGGGCGUAGGAAAGUUGAGGAGAGCUGUCCCUAGUACGAGAGGACCGGGAUGGACGUGUCACUGGUGCACCAGUUGUUCUGCCAAGAGCAUCGCUGGGUAGCUACACACGGAUGUGAUAACUGCUGAAAGCAUCUAAGCAGGAAGCCAACUCCAAGAUAAACUUUCCCUGAAGCUCGCACAAAGACUAUGUGCUUGAUAGGGUAGAUGUGUAAGCGCAGUAAUGCGUUUAGCUGACUACUACUAAUAGAGCGUUUGGCUUGUUU